rnacentral:rRNA from 1 species
AUUGAACGCUGGCGGCGUGCUUAACACAUGCAAGUCGAUCGGUAACGCGGGGGCAACCCUGGCGACGAGAGGCGGACGGGUGAGGAACGCUUGGGAAUCUGCCUAUCAGCGGGGGACAACCCGGGGAAACUCGGGCUAAUACCGCAUACGCUCUACGGAGGAAAGCCGGGGACCGCAAGGCCUGGCACUGAUAGAUGAGCCCAAGUCGGAUUAGCUAGUUGGCGGGGUAACGGCCCACCAAGGCGACGAUCCGUAGCUGGUCUGAGAGGACGAUCAGCCACACUGGGACUGAGACACGGCCCAGACUCCUACGGGAGGCAGCAGUGGGGAAUAUUGGACAAUGGGGGAAACCCUGAUCCAGCGACGCCGCGUGGGUGAAGAAGGCCUGCGGGUUGUAAAGCCCUUUCGGUAGGGACGAAAGCUCUCGACCUAACACGUCGGGAGGUCGACUUAACCUACAAAAGAAGCACCGGCUAACUCUGUGCCAGCAGCCGCCGUAA